UACGAAGGGGGCUAGCGUUGUUCGGAUUUACUGGGCGUAAAGCGCACGUUAGGCGGAUCGUUAAGUCCGGGGGUGAAAUCCUGGAGCUCAACUCCAGAACUGCCUUCGAUACUGGCGAUCUUGAGUCCGGAAGAGGUGAGUGGAACUCCUAGUGUAGAGGUGGAAUUCGUAGAUAUUAGGAAGAACACCAGUGGCGAAGGCGGCUCACUGGUCCGGUACUGAACGCUGGAGGUGCGAAAGCGUGGGGAGCAAACAGG
rnacentral:rRNA from 1 species